CCUACGGGUGGCAGCAGUGGGGAAUAUUGGACAAUGGGCGAAAGCCUGAUCCAGCCAUGCCGCGUGUGUGAAGAAGGCCUUCGGGUUGUAAAGCACUUUCAGUGGGGAAGAAAGCCUUGGGGCUAAUACCCUCGAGGAAGGACAUCACCCACAGAAGAAGCACCGGCUAACUCCGUGCCAGCAGCCGCGGUAAUACGGAGGGUGCGAGCGUUAAUCGGAAUUACUGGGCGUAAAGCGCGCGUAGGCGGUCUGAUAAGCCGGUUGUGAAAGCCCCGGGCUCAACCUGGGAACGGCAUCCGGAACUGUCAGGCUAGAGUGCAGGAGAGGAAGGUAGAAUUCCCGGUGUAGCGGUGAAAUGCGUAGAGAUCGGGAGGAAUACCAGUGGCGAAGGCGGCCUUCUGGACUGACACUGACGCUGAGGUGCGAAAGCGUGGGUAGCAAACAGGAUUAGAUACCCCAGUGUC
rnacentral:rRNA from 1 species